AGAACUUAACCCGUGAUUGCUGGGGCUGACUCUCGCUCCUCCAGGGGCCGUCGUUUUUUACAGAGGGGUGGAGGUUGUUGCCUUUUUUUUUUUUUUUUUUUUAAUUAAAUGAAUGGAGGGCGGCGGCAACUGCCGCAGCUGGCUCAGCUGCGCGAACUGUGCCCCCUCCCAGCCUGCGAGAGGAGAUGUGGAAGCUCGAUCCAGGACAACCAGUGUGAGCAUAGAACAGGAGAGAAGAAAAAAACAGCCAAUAGAAGCCGGUAGAGGACCUGCCCCAACAAAACGGAAGAGCAAAUCCAGCGAGGAGACACCAUGGGAGUAACCGAAUGGCGUUCAGGUAGGGGGGGUUGGAUCAAAAAGUCUUCUACAUGCACAGCAAGGAGUUGGACAUCAUUAUAUCACCAGAGUUCCUUAGAUGAA